rnacentral:piRNA from 1 species
UCGGCAGAGGAAAUCUUUAAAAAAGGCC